GCGGCCAACAUCCAGUCCGAUCGGGUGUGGCUGGCGAAUGCCCGUGUCACACUAAUGCACUUCAUGUCAGCUCAAAGGAAUCGAAUCGCCAGUCGGGCAGCCAGUUAAUGGCUACAUGCAUAAAAAGCUGAACGGAUAGCAGCCUGGCCUCUCCACGGAGAUGGACCUGGCCGGGGACCCGCCUUGACGUGCCGCGCCCCAUCGCCCCCGCCGCCCCCCUCGCGCCACGAGUCGCCGUCGACUCGAUUUGACUCCACUCGGUGCGCUUCAGCUGCAUCUCGCAAAUGAAAUAUAAAUUAAAUUAAAUUCCAAAAGAGCAAGACGCUUGGCCACCACAUGCAUAAAUCAACAGCUCAAAGUGCAGGCCAAAUGUCAACCGUUGCAUCGAUUGCCAAUUGCAACUUGCAACGCAACGCACAUGCCGCAUGCCGCAUGCCGCAUGCCGCAUGCCACACGCCACAAAGCUCUGCUCGCUAUGCACACUUUCUGUCGACCAGAUGAACUAGUUCCACAGAUCGUUAUCGAUAGUUGUUGUUGCUAUUCUUGCGUUUAUCGAUUAAGGUCAAUUUUUUGGUUUAAUUUCAUUUCGAACUGAAUUCCAUAAAUGAAAUGAUUAUGGAAAAAGUCGCACUAUGCAUAGAGGGAGAUGCUUAUUGGCUGACCUAUAUCAAGAACAGGAUUGUUAAAGCUCCACCAAGGCGUUACAACUCUCAGGUUUACAGCUCGAGUACAUCAAAAGCCGAAACGAAAUGAUCUGGAAGAACUUUGGCCUACACAGCGUCUGGAGGAUUUUGAGAUCAAGUUUUGUAUAUCUAUAUCCAUAUCUAUAUCUAUCUAUCUAUCUAUAUAUUUACAUGAAUAAUUGAUAUUACUUGAAACUUGCAGAAAGCUCUUCUAAGUACAUUGAGUACAUGCAAAGCCGAAACGAAAUGACCUGGAAGAGCUUUGGCUUACAGAUCGUCUGGAGGAUUUUGAGAUAAAGUUUUGUAUAUCUAUAUUUAUAUAUCUAUCUAUAUGUUUACAUGCAGAAGCCUCUAUUCAUUGAUAUUACCUUAAACUUGCAGCAAGCUCUUCAAAAUGCUUCCAUCUCUCAGCACACAGUUCGAGUACAUCCAAAGCCGAAAUGAAAUGACCUGGAAGAGCCUCGGCCUAUAUCCGCGCUUAGGUUUCAGAUCGUCUCGCGGAUCUUGAGAUAACGCUUUGUAUAUCUAUGUCAAGCUCUUCCAAGUGUUUCAAUCUGUCAGCCCACAGCUCGAGAAAAAAUUACCUGGAACAACUUUGGCCUGCACAGUGUCUGGCGGAUCUUGUGAUCAAGCUUUGUAUAUCAAGCUGUUCCCAGUGUUCCCAUCUCUCAACUCAAAGUUCUACAUCCAAAACCGAGACGAAUUGAGCUGAAAGAACUUUGGCCUACACAGCGUCUGGCGGAUCUUGUGAUCAAGCUUUGUAUAUCAGCUCAAAUGAUGUCGCACGUUGAGGCCUUUGCUCAUUCCCCAUUGCUGUGGCGCCAAGGUCUCCAACUUGCUGUGGCGCAAGCUUCAGGUGUCUUCACUGCUUCUGGAUAAGCCUGAGAAUUGGCAGACAGUAACGGCGCCGCGGCUCGGCUGUUUACGCGCUAGCCUGUAUCUAAUUCGUACCAUGCACUGCAUAAACAAAUAUCAAAUUAAUAAAAUGCUCGUCUCAAUUCAUUUCCGAGCAAUGUUUAUGCUUCUGUGUGUACCCAAGGCCACUUCCAUAGGGAACUGGGCCGGCUGGGCGAUCGUUUUUCCAGCAGAUAUGGGAGUAAGCGCUCUCUAUGCGACGCAAUUAGCUGGAAAAUUCUUGUGUGCUUAUCG